GGGGUAGUUAGAGCAGCUUCCAGCAGGAAGACGUGCUCCAAGUACCUAUGUAAACUGAUCAUCUCAAGUUACCUUGGUAUUCAUCUAUAGAAUUUUUCAAUUAUGUAUGACUAAUUUUGCACAAAGUUAUUAUUUAAAGCAAUUUGUCUCUGUGUGAGAGGCAACACCUUCCCCUUCCGGAAAGGUGGGCGGGGAGACCGUCAUAACCCGCCAUGCUGCAGCUUGAGUUAUUAAGCGGUUACAGGAGUUCAAAAGAGAAAAAUAAUGAACAGGGUCCCUCUCCAGGUAAUGGUAAAACCACCGUGUACAAUUACCCCGCCAGCCUGUGCAAUCAACAGGUUGAGAAGCCGGCAGCCCACAGCCUUGCCAGUGGAGCUUGGCAAAGACCAAGCAAUUGCGGUCAUGGCCUUCACAGGGCUUUCAUUCUUGAUUUUCCAAGCAAGGACCACAGCUGAAUGCAUCCUGGGAAGGAGUGAUGGGUCAGCAAACAAACCUGGUCACUUCUGAAAGCUCAGAAACUAAGGAAGCGUGGAUGUUGACAUGUCCCCAUGUGGUCACUCAGACUGCUCCCUCUACUAUGACCCUGUGAAAGAAAUAAAAAGCCAACAAUAUCUUUGGAAAUUAAUGAGCAGGCAAGAUUUAGGCAGCCGUCUGUGGGCAGGCGGGGACAUGCCCCAAUGUCUCAAUGCUAUGGGAUUUCCUCAAAGCCCGUCCGCAGUUGGUGGGGACUGGCUGCUCCACAAAGGUUAAUAAAUGCUCGGUUUACUCAAU
rnacentral:lncRNA from 1 species